rnacentral:rRNA from 1 species
UGGCGAACGGGUGAGUAACACGUGGGCAAUCUGCCCUGCACUCUGGGACAAGCCCUGGAAACGGGGUCUAAUACCGGAUACUGACCCUCACAGGCAUCUGUGAGGUUCGAAAGCUCCGGCGGUGCAGGAUGAGCCCGCGGCCUAUCAGCUUGUUGGUGAGGUAAUGGCUCACCAAGGCGACGACGGGUAGCCGGCCUGAGAGGGCGACCGGCCACACUGGGACUGAGACACGGCCCAGACUCCUACGGGAGGCAGCAGUGGGGAAUAUUGCACAAUGGGCGAAAGCCUGAUGCAGCGACGCCGCGUGAGGGAUGACGGCCUUCGGGUUGUAAACCUCUUUCAGCAGGGAAGAAGCGAAAGUGACGGUACCUGCAGAAGAAGCGCCGGCUAACUACGUGCCAGCAGCCGCGGUAAUACGUAGGGCGCGAGCGUUGUCCGGAAUUAUUGGGCGUAAAGAGCUCGUAGGCGGCUUGUCACGUCGGUUGUGAAAGCCCGGGGCUUAACCCCGGGUCUGCAGUCGAUACGGGCAGGCUAGAGUUCGGUAGGGGAGAUCGGAAUUCCUGGUGUAGCGGUGAAAUGCGCAGAUAUCAGGAGGAACACCGGUGGCGAAGGCGGAUCUCUGGGCCGAUACUGACGCUGAGGAGCGAAAGCGUGGGGAGCGAACAGGAUUAGAUACCCUGGUAGUCCACGCCGUAAACGGUGGGCACUAGGUGUGGGCAACAUUCCACGUUGUCCGUGCCGCAGCUAACGCAUUAAGUGCCCCGCCUGGGGAGUACGGCCGCAAGGCUAAAACUCAGAGGAAUUGACGGGGGCCCGCACAAGCGGCGGAGCAUGUGGCUUAAUUCGACGCAACGCGAAGAACCUUACCAAGGCUUGACAUACACCGGAAACGUCUGGAGACAGGCGCCCCCUUGUGGUCGGUGUACAGGUGGUGCAUGGCUGUCGUCAGCUCGUGUCGUGAGAUGUUGGGUUAAGUCCCGCAACGAGCGCAACCCUUGUCCCGUGUUGCCAGCAGGCCCUUGUGGUGCUGGGGACUCACGGGAGACCGCCGGGGUCAACUCGGAGGAAGGUGGGGACGACGUCAAGUCAUCAUGCCCCUUAUGUCUUGGGCUGCACACGUGCUACAAUGGCCGGUACAAUGAGCUGCGAUACCGCGAGGUGGAGCGAAUCUCAAAAAGCCGGUCUCAGUUCGGAUUGGGGUCUGCAACUCGACCCCAUGAAGUCGGAGUCGCUAGUAAUCGCAGAUCAGCAUUGCUGCGGUGAAUACGUUCCCGGGCCUUGUACACACCGCCCGUCACGUCACGAAAGUCGGUAACACCCGAAGCCGG